rnacentral:rRNA from 1 species
CGGUACUUGUUCUUCCCUAACAACAGAGCUUUACGAUCCGAAAACCUUCAUCGCUCACGCGGCGCUGCUCCGUCAGACUUUCGUCCAUUGCGGAAGAUUCCCUACUGCUGCCUCCCGUAGG